CAUCUCUAAAUAUAAUUUCAUUCUUCUUUUCUACCUCAACUUUCUGUUAUUAUUUAUUAUUGUUUGGAUUAAAUAUAAAGUAUUCUCAUUACUAUCAAUCAUUUCCUCAUAUAGACUUCAUGAAAAAUGUAGAUUUCACUGAUUUCUACUCUAUUUAAAUUUUUGCAAAAGAUCUAAUAAUCUGAGUUAUAAAACUCAGAAAGUGUUCUCACAGAAAAAAACUCUUUUCUUCUUUUAUUUUUAUUAUAAAGAAUAACAAUUCAAUAAAUCCCAGGGGAUGAAGACAUCUUUAAUUCCUCCAAAGGGUUGGA
rnacentral:sRNA from 2 species